AUGAGUUGAAGUAUUCACUGAAGAGACUAGUGGAUGGCCUUUCUCACACAAGAGAGGAGGCUCGGUCAGGAUACAGUGUUGCACUCGCUCAGCUGCUGAGUGUAUUUGAGGAGAUCUCCCUGAAAUCCACACUAGACAGCGUCAAAGAAAAGCAUAACCUCCAGACAGCCAAAAAGAAAUUCAUCAGAAAUGCAG